GCCGUAGCAUGUGCCAUCGCCACCAAGUGUACUUCAGUGGACAUAUGUCGUUUUUAAAUCUGAGCACACUUGGUAGCGGUGCCGUGAGCUACUC
rnacentral:pre_miRNA from 1 species